CAUCUACAAUAGGAGGUUUGAUUUUUCCCUAAAACAUCAUAUAAUAAACAGUUAAAAAAAAAUCUGAUCAUGAUAGUCUUUAUUUCCUGAAAGAAAGAGAUAACACGGUAAUAGAAAAAUUCUGUUUAUUGACGUUACAUAAUUGUAUGUACCUAGCAUUUAACAUGUCGGAAAUAUAAUUUAUGUCAGAAGAGAUUCAAUUAAAAAAAAACUAUUGGAUACAUUUUCUAGUUGUAAUGAUAGCAAGUAUUGUAAAUUACAUCUCUAAAAUUUGAAACAAACUAAUAUAUUCAGAUUAGCCUGCUGCAUUGCAAAAAACCAAAAAAAAAAACCAACAGAAAAACCCCAAGCUAAACCUGCACAUCGGCGUUCCUACAAUAAAACAUUCUAACGCCGUACAAUUUAGUAAUGUCAGAUUUUUUUUUAGAAAGAAACCUAUUGAAUGACAUAGUAAUUAAGAAAGAACAUGUUUGAUGGAAUACUAUGAGUAGUGUAUAUCUUGAUGGAAUACUGUAAAUCACAAUUGUUAAUUAAAUGGUCAGAUUUCAAAUUUCUUAAACUCACCCAAUAUCUGUAAAAUUGUUUCUUUAGAGCUUGAACCAUAAUAAAACAUAUCAUAAAAUUGCUUCUCAGAUGUCUAUAGGAACAAAGAAGAUGAAAAGAUAAAAUCUUCCUUCACUACCAAGAGAGGAUUGGUUUUGUUUUCUACAGGAAAACAAAAUUCAAGAUAGCAAAAUAUUAAUUACCUUCCUCAAAGCUCCUUGAAUAACCCCUCUUGUAUUAACAAAUCUAACUCCUAAAGUACGGUCUGCAUCUCUGAAUGUCACAGACAGAGAAAGUAGUAACCAUGGCCCAAGUCGUAACCAUGGUUGUACCAUUAU